rnacentral:rRNA from 1 species
CCUACGGGGGGCAGCAGGGGGGAAUAUUGGACAAUGGGGGGAACCCUGAUCCAGCCAUGCCGCGUGUGUGAAGAAGGCCCUCGGGUUGUAAAGCACUUUCAGUGAGGAAGAACGCCUGGUGGUUAAUACCCAUCAGGAAAGACAUCACUCACAGAAGAAGCACCGGCUAACUCCGUGCCAGCAGCCGCGGUAAUACGGAGGGUGCGAGCGUUAAUCGGAAUUACUGGGCGUAAAGCGCGCGUAGGUGGCUUGAUAAGCCGGUUGUGAAAGCCCCGGGCUCAACCUGGGAACGGCAUCCGGAACUGUCAAGCUAGAGUGCAGGAGAGGAAGGUAGAAUUCCCGGUGUAGCGGUGAAAUGCGUAGAGAUCGGGAGGAAUACCAGUGGCGAAGGCGGCCUUCUGGACUGACACUGACACUGAGGUGCGAAAGCGUGGGUAGCAAACAGGAUUAGAUACCCUGGUAGUC